rnacentral:lncRNA from 1 species
UAGAUUGUCUUUCAAAUACAGGUUUCUUGUCAGCAAGUCUUCAUUUUGCACCUAUUCCAGAUUUUCUUGUUUAGGGUCAAGGGUGUCUAUCAAAAUUAUAAUCAGGAGAAAUUGAAUGCAACUUUGGACCUAAAACCUUUGCUAAAGACAUCAAGGGAGAACUUUUUUCCCAAGAAAACAAAAUAUUCAAGAAGAUGAAUUACCGUAAGCCAAAAAGAAAUUGUCACGCAGAAAAGUCCCAAGGACUCCGCAGUUUAAGUAAAAUAAAUGGUAGCUAAAAUCUCAAAACUACUUUACUCCAAAGUAUGUUUAAGUUCAAUCAAUAUCUAAAAUUUAAAAUAAAUAAAAAAUGAAUCCAUAGAUCAAGGACAAUAUUUUUGUUAAGCCCUCCCCC